GAUGAACGCUAGCUACAGGCUUAACACAUGCAAGUCGAGGGGAAACGAUAUUGGAAGCUUGCUUCCGAUAGGCGUCGACCGGCGCACGGGUGAGUAACGCGUAUCCAACCUGCCCACCACUUGGGGAUAACCUUGCGAAAGUAAGACUAAUACCCAAUGAUAUCUCUAGAAGACAUCUGAAGGAGAUCAAAGAUUCACCGGUGAUGGAUGGGGAUGCGUCUGAUUAGCUUGUUGGCGGGGUAACGACCCACCAAGGCGACGAUCAGUAGGGGUUCUGAGAGGAAGGUCCCCCACAUUGGAGCUGAGACACGGUCCAAACUCCUACGGGAGGCAGCAGUGAGGAAUAUUGGUCAAUGGGCGAGAGCCUGAACCAGCCAAGUAGCGUGCAGGAUGACGGCCCUAUGGGUUGUAAACUGCCUUUAUAAGGGAAUAAAGUGAGUCUCGUGAGACUUUUUGCAUGUACCUUAUGAAUAAGGACCGGCUAAUUCCGUGCCAGCCGCCGCGGUAA
rnacentral:rRNA from 1 species